UUUAGAUAAGAAUUGAUGAAGUUAUAACAGUUUAAGUAAAAAAAAAUUUAGUUUUGACCUCAAUUUCUUCAUAUAUCAAAAAUUUUUGAAUUGUUUGAUUUUGAUAACUUUUCACUUUUAAAAUACUGGAUUAAUACUCCUUCCAACAAUAUGUAACGAUCUAAUUUUUCAACUUUAAAAAUUUCAUGUUACACUGUGACAGUGUAAAAACUUUGGACAGUGACUGUCCAAACUUUUUUUUUCUAAACACAUUGGCUCACUUUGGAAUUAAUGUGAGCCGUAACUAUAGGCAUAAUUUCAAAAAAAUUGGACAAUAUGGAUUUUUAAUAAUUUUGUGAAAUCACCUUGAAGUUUUAUAUUGUUUGUAUUUUUUCUCAAAAAUUCAAGACUUAAAUAUUUUACGAUAUAACCUGAUAAGUCUGUCCAAACAUCAGUUGAUAAAACCUUGAUUAAGUCUGUCCAAACAUCAGCUUUAAAGUUCAUAACUUUAAGGGCAUAACUUUCUUAGCUUUUGAUUUUAGACGUUAAAUCUGGAUCAAUUUCCCUGGGUAAUAUAAUCUACAGGAUUUAAUUAAGAGCACAAUCUUUUACAAAUUUUUCAUCAUCUAGUAACAUAGCAUAAAGAAAUUUUUCUUGACAGUAGCAGUAGAAGUUACUCUAAUCUGAUUUUUCAAUACAAUCUUUUGAAUUCUGUUAUCUUGUUUUUUGAAUAAUUUUAAUGUUUAAUGAAGAAAUUUUAAUGAAUCUUAGUAAUGCAGCAAACAAUUUUAAUAAAUAUUUUGCAGCAAACCACAAAACAAUAGUAAGUCUGAAUUAUGUACUUUGUGAUGCAGUUUAAAUCAUGUGUAGAUAUCUCAGUUCAUGUAUAAAUCAUUUUUUUUAAACUAAAAGUUAGCACCGUGCAUAGCAAACUAGAUUGGGUUUCUUGUUGGCAUCCUUUGUAGAAACAGAACCUUAAGCUAUUCUAAUAUAAUACUUAUAAAGUUUACGCCAGUCUAUACUCAAACCACAAACAAUGUCGGUUUUCACAUACUCAAUUCUAUCUCAUAAUCUAUGGGAACAAACUGAAUUAAAAGUUGUUUAUUCAUAAAUAAGUUAGAUGCUUGUUCACCAAUAAGGUCUUUAUACUUUAUAGGGUAAUUUGUUUUUCCAUCUAUUUCAGAUAUAACAUGGCGAAGUGGUAGCUAACACAUGUGAAGUAAACAAUCAGAUUGUAGACUAUCUACUAAAAGAAGGCUACGUUUUAAAGGCUUUUCUAAUUUUACAGCAGUUUUAAAUUAUCUAGACCAGUGUUAGCACAUGUAUUGUCACGAACAAUCGCUUCUAAGUUUAAUAAAUGUUUAACAAAGGACACGAAGGCCACUAAAACUGAGUAUACAUUAACAAAUUUUUUUACUGAAAUGUUAAAUUGUAUCAAGUGCUGGACAAGUUAGACCAAAAUUGUAUUAACUUGAACAGAGCAGUAUAGCAAGACAUUUCUUAAACAUCAAGACAGACGAUGCAGUGAUCAUCAGUGAUGGAGUGAAAUAUUUGUAUUAGGAUGCGAAGAAAUUACAAACGAAUAUCAAGUCAGUUAGAGCCUAAUGCUCAUGCAAUUAAAGCUGCUAUGGCAACCCUUUGAAUCUGAUAGUUAUUCACUCUGAGCAAUAUAUAGCAGUAUAAUAUUUUAAAUCAAAUUAACUGCGGAAAAUGAGUUUCAAUAAACUGGUCACUUUGCUUAUUAUUCGACAAACAACCUUUGUCACCUUAUAAAAGCAGGAGGAAAAAUGUUAGAGAAAAUACAAAAAAUGUUAUGGUCAGAAUUAUGGAGCAUCAUGUGAAGCCUAGGUUCAAUAUGAAAAGCAAAAUUUGUGGUGAUAUAAAGAAGGUAUCGUUCGAAGAUAAAAAGUUGUGUAAAGCAAUAAUUUUGAAGUCAUCCAGCGCGAGAGUUCGACGAAAACAAACAACAGAUCAAAUAGAAAGCGUUUUAAAGUUCUCUCCAUUGAACAAUUAUUUAUUUUUGAGUUUUUUUGUAAAUUUAUAAUACAAAAGAAUAUAUAAUACAUCUUUAAAAAAAAUCUUUA